CCAACCCUACGGGAGGCAGCAGUAGGGAAUCUUCCACAAUGGACGAAAGUCUGAUGGAGCAACGCCGCGUGAGUGAAGAAGGGUUUCGGCUCGUAAAGCUCUGUUGGUAGUGAAGAACGUUGGUGAGAGUGGAAAGCUCAUCAAGUGACGGUAACUACCCCGAAAGGGACGGCUAACUACGUGCCAGCAGCCGCGGUAAUACGUAGGUCCCGAGCGUUGUCCGGAUUUAUUGGGCGUAAAGCGAGCGCAGGUGGGUUAUUAAGUCUGGUGUAAAAGGCAGUGGCUCAACCAUUGUAUGCAUUGGA
rnacentral:rRNA from 1 species